rnacentral:rRNA from 1 species
CCUACGGGUGACAGCAGUGGGGAAUAUUGGUCAAUGGAGGAAACUCUGAACCAGCAACGCCGCGUGAAUGAUGAAGGUCUUCGGAUUGUAAAGUUCUUUUCUAAGGGAAGAAGAAAGUGAGAGUACCCGAAGAAAAAGCAUCGGCUAACUCCGUGCCAGCAGCCGCGGUAAUACGGAGGAUGCGAGCGUUAUCCGGAUUUAUUGGGUUUAAAGGGUGCGCAGGCGGAGGUGCAAGUCAGCGGUCAAAUUGCGGGGCUCAACCCCGUACUGCCGUUGAAACUGCAUCCCUUGAGUGCGCGAGAAGUAUGCGGAAUGCGUGGUGUAGCGGUGAAAUGCAUAGAUAUCACGCAGAACUCCGAUUGCGAAGGCAGCAUACCGGCGCGCAACUGACGCUCAUGCACGAAAGCGUGGGUAUCGAACAGGAUUAGAUACCCUAGUAGUC